rnacentral:rRNA from 1 species
UGCAAGUCGAGCGCCGUAGCAAUACGGAGCGGCAGACGGGAGAGUAACACGUGGGAACGUGCCCUUCAGUUCGGAACAACUCAGGGAAACUUGGGCUAAUACCGAAUACGUCCGUAAGGAGAAAGAUUUAUCGCUGAAGGAUCGGCCCGCGUCUGAUUAGCUAGUUGGUGGGGUAAUGGCCCACCAAGGCGACGAUCAGUAGCUGGUCUGAGAGGAUGAUCAGCCUCACUGGGACUGAGACACGGCCCAGACUCCUACGGGAGGCAGCAGUGGGGAAUAUUGGACAAUGGGCGCAAGCCUGAUCCAGCCAUGCCGCGUGGGUGAUGAAGGCCCUAGGGUUGUAAAGCCCUUUCGGCGGGGAAGAUAAUGACGGUACCCGCAGAAGAAGCCCCGGCUAACUUCGUGCCAGCAGCCGCGGUAAUACGAAGGGGGCUAGCGUUGCUCGGAAUCACUGGGCGUAAAGCGCACGUAGGCGGCUUUUUAAGUCAGGGGUGAAAUCCUGGAGCUCAACUCCAGAACUGCCCUUGAUACUGAGAGGCUUGAGUCCGGGAGAGGUGAGUGGAACUGCGAGUGUAGAGGUGAAAUUCGUAGAUAUUCGCAAGAACACCAGUGGCGAAGGCGGCUCACUGG